rnacentral:rRNA from 1 species
GCUUACGGCCUUACCACCCUGAGCACGCCCCAUCUCGUCUGAUCUCGGAAGCUAAGCAGUGUCGGGCCUGGUUAGUACUUGGAUGGGAGACCGCCUAGGAAUACCAGGUGCUGUCAGCU